rnacentral:snRNA from 1 species
GUACUUCCAAAGUGCAUAUACUAAAAUUGGAACGAUACAGACAAGAUUAGCGUGGCCCCUGCGCACCAAGAAAAAAAAAGAUUUCUU